AUGACUGAGAAGAUAUUUGGCUCCCUAACCGAAAUAGAAACCGUCUGGGAAACAAUCUGCUGUUACUGGAAAUCCAAGUCGAUCCAUGCCAAAAUAACCUGUAGUUCUUUCCUGAAUAAAGAUAAGGAUUUAUACGAGUUCGAUGAGGAUCAGGAGGCCCCUGUUCCAUCAAAGAAUUUGAUUUUUGAGACAGAGGUGAAGACAACCGAGCAGUAG
rnacentral:rRNA from 1 species